rnacentral:lncRNA from 1 species
UUAAAGGUUAAAUGGCCAUCAUACAAACGUAAUAAAGAUGAAACGACCCCCAUGCAGCCUUUUAAUAAAGGUUAAAUGACCAGCAUGCAACAUCUUAAUAAAGGUUAAAUAAAUUUAAUCCUGAAAAUUUUUGAUAAAGGUUGAAUGACCCUGACUCUGAGAAGCCUUUUGAAGCCAGUGAUGUGUCAUUUGGCUUAAGUUGCAAUAGCUAAAGAUUCACCAAGGAGCAUGAGUUAAGGGCUAACUGAGACUGGAUCCCGAGUCCUCUUACCCUGGAAGGGCUAACUCCCACUUUUUCCAGGGAGCAGGACUUCUGGGUAGGACCACUGCCUUCUUUUCAGCCUUCUUCCUCUUAGCGAAGACUGCUAUUAUUUGACUCUUCAGUUAAGCAGUUGCAUGUCUGGCAAUGCAGAAGUGGGCAGAUCUUCUGUGUUCCAUCCACAGUAAUUAGCAUUUGCCUUUUGUGGUUUCACUAGUAAAAUGCCACUUGAAAGGGAUUUUUUUCAAAAGCAUAGGGGUUUUGUGGUUUUCCACAUCAUUUUCUUGAAGGUGUGUGUGUGGUGUGUUUCAGACAGUCCUACUGUAUUGUAUGCUGUUUGUAUAUAGUGUGCUAGACUGAACUGCUAUGUAGCCCAGGCUCCUAAUGUUAGGGCAGACCUCCUAGAUAUUUUAAAAUAGUGAACCCCCAUGAGAGUUUUAGCCCCUUUGUUUUCUUUCCGACUCCUGUCUUUACCAGGUCCUCUUGGUUUCAAAACAUUUUGGAUAGACUUUUUAGUUCUUCCAGAAUGAUGGCUUUUGAAAUAUUAGGCAUUUCAAAUAUUGAUUUCAUUUGCACUUUUGAUUUUUACACUAUUAAAAGAAGCUAUCCACAAGUAGGAUUUUUUUUUUCCUGAGACAGGGUUUCUCUGUAUAUAGCCCUGGCUGUCCUGGAACUCACUCUGUAGACUAGGCUGGCUUCGAACUCAGAAAUCCGCCUGCCUCUGCCUCCCAAGUACGGGGAUGAAAUCUUGGGAAACCCACUGCAGCUUUUCUACUUAUUCCUAACUGCACGGUGGUGAUUUCUCUUACUUGAAAAUCAGGUCUUAUCUAGUUUUACAGUAACCAUAAGCAUCUAGGUUUUCAAACUAUUUAGC